UAACCUGCCCAGUGAUGGGCAGCUGAACAACCAGAAGUCAGCAGAAGCCA
rfam:Planomicrobium glaciei strain CGMCC 1.6846 genome assembly, contig: Ga0070170_114